rnacentral:rRNA from 1 species
UACGUAGGGGGCAAGCGUUGUCCGGAUUUACUGGGCGUAAAGCGCGUGUAGGCGGGAGAGGCAGUCCGGUGUGAAAGCCCUCGGCUCAACCGAGGAAGGUCGCUGGAAACUCCUCUUCUUGAGGGUGGCAGAGGGAAGUGGAAUUCCCGGUGUAGCAGUGAAAUGCGUAGAGAUGUGGAGGAAUACCGAUGGCGAAGGCAGCCUCCUGGGAUAACACUGACGCUCAUGCACGAAAGCGUGGGGAGCAAACAGG